rnacentral:lncRNA from 1 species
CCACCGCUUUAUAAAUAUUCAUAUUCAUGUUCCUUCCACAACACAACUUACUCAAAUUCUUCAAUGAGCCAACCAAGAUCUCCAUGCAACAUCAGUGCGUCUCUUUCAGAUCUGAUGCUACCAAGAUCGUUCAAGGAGACCUUUUCUUCUUUGCCAUCUCCUACGUGCUCUAAUGGAUCGAUCUGCAUUGUUUUAUUUAUUAUUUUAGCAAUUGUGAUUUCCUUGAUUAAUUACGUCAUAAGGUCUCUGUCUUAACGGUGACAUAAGUUUAUAGUCACAUAUAAAAAUACCACAACCAUCUUAUUUAUAAAAUUUAUGAAGGUGGUUGAAUUGUAUUUAGGAAAGCAAAUACCCACACAACUCAUUAUUAUAUAUUUGUUUAGAAUACGUGGAAUUGAUCUUUUUCUCUUAUGUUAGAAUAUAAUUGACUGUG